ACUACUCCUAUCAGAGGGGGAUAACCCGGCGAAAGUCGGACUAAUACCGCAUGAAGCAGGGGCCCCGCAUGGGGAUAUUUGCUAAAGAUUCAUCGCUGAUAGAUAGGCAUGCGUUCCAUUAGGCAGUUGGCGGGGUAACGGCCCACCAAACCGACGAUGGAUAGGGGUUCUGAGAGGAAGGUCCCCCACAUUGGUACUGAGACACGGACCAA
rnacentral:rRNA from 1 species